rnacentral:lncRNA from 1 species
CACCCAAUCAGCUCAAGUCACGUGUCAAAUCGUGAUUGAUAUAAAAAAAAAUUAGACAUGUUUUUCUCGUGAACCAACAAAUACAGAGAAUCAGAAUUCCAGCAGUCGAACAGAGAUUUUGAUCUGAUGAAGGCUGAUACAACUGUCAUCCUUCGGAAUGCUAAGAUCGACAUGUUCAAAAGCACCAUGAGACUAGCUGUGGACAAAUGGGGACGCGUCGAGGUUACUGAACCUGCUGCAUUUGAAGUGAAACAGGAUAACAAUCUCUCCCUUGUUGAGUAUGAGCUGGUGAAUAUGGAGUGAACAAAAGGAUCUUUUUAGUGAAAGUGCUAACUAGUUGAAGUUCAUAGUUCUACUACCAGGUUUAGUACUAUUAUCCUCCAUUUUGUUGUAGUUGUGGUCCCUUGGAAUUGGAAAGUACUAACUUUGAAGAUGGUAAUAUUUGGUAAGAGUAAACUUGAAACUAGCAGGAAUCAAUGGUAUAAAAAGAAAACUUAAUCUAGUAAGAUAAACCUAACUUUAUGUGUGAUGCUUUUUAUUUGCUAUGUUGCUCGGACUCUUAAAAAAUGCUGAAGGGUGUGUGUCGGAUUCUCCAAAAGCAAUGCAUUUUUGGAGGAUCCACCAUAGAUGUGACAACAUUUUAUAGAGUCUGUACAACGUAAUUUAUUUGAGAAAAUAAUCCUUCAUGUAUUUCGAUCCGUUUAUCAGUUUGUUCCUAAGCCCUAUGAGUGACAAAAGUCGCUACUUUUGCUGCCAAAAUACAUUGAGCCCAGCCUUAUGCAGGGGAUGUGAUCUACCGAUAUACAAAACAAAGAUCCCUUGUAUUACAACACAAACAACAACAUACUAUGUGUAAUCCCACAAGUGGGAUCUGAUGAAUGACAGAUCAUGAUACGAUCUUUUUGUAGUUAGGUCUUAUUAGAUUAACUUUCGUUGAUACAUUUCAAGUAUAUCCAUUUUCAGUCUACUGAUUAGGUUGUCAACUUGGAUUUUGAAAUUACAUAACAUCAAUGAAUGAUGCUCUUGCCCAGUUUUUGCGCAUCUGAGUAUUCCACAGGUACCUGCUACUUUCCACCCAGUAUAGAUACUAGGUAAAUUUGUCUUUUAACGCUUUAGAUGUAGUGAAAAGUUAUCACCUAGUUAAAUUCCUAAAUAUUUGAGUGUUUAUGUUUGAAUAUAAAGAGAUGAAGGUCUUUUCGGAAACCAACCCUCUAUCUUCAUAAGGUAGGAUAAGGUUUGCGUACACAUUACUGUAUACCUUACUUAAUCCACUUGCGAGAUUAUGUUAGGUUUAUUACUGUUAUACUUUUGUAUAUAAAGUUGCCAAAAAUGGCAUGGUCAAAGAAUAUGAAGAGAAGAAGGGCCUAUCAAACUAGUUCUUAUUUAAGUAAUCAUUGUAGCAAGUCAUGUG